rnacentral:rRNA from 1 species
GGCAGCAGUCGAGAAUCAUUCACAAUGGGGGCAACCCUGAUGGUGCAACGCCGCGUGGAGGAUGAAGGCCCUAGGGUCGUAAACUCCUGUCAUAGCAGAGUAAGACAUAUGCGUUAAUAGCGUGUAUGUUUGAUAGUAUGCUAAGAGGAAGGGACGGCUAACUUCGUGCCAGCAGCCGCGGUAAU